rfam:Ciona savignyi cont_37478, whole genome shotgun sequence.
CAAGCAAUCUCGGGCUUGGUUAGUACUUGGAUGGGUGACCGCUUGGGAAUACCAAGUGUGAUAAGCA